UAUCUCAUAAACAAAAGUGCAUUCAUCCCUGGACGGAUUAUUUCUGAUAAUUCCAUUAUUGCCUUCGAGUGUAUUCAUUACAUUCAAUCUUUAAAGCAUAAUUCUCAUGCAUGUUGUGCUUAUAAAUUGGAUCUCUUGAAGGCAUAUGAUCAUGUGGAUUGGGAUUUCUUGGAGAAGGCUUUAAUCAAAUGGGGCUUCUCCCUGCAGUGGAUUUCUUGGAUUAUGUCGUGUGUAUCCUCGGUGAAAUAUUAUGUCAAGUUCAAUGGUAAACUUUUAAGUACAUUUACCUCAUCCAGGGGCCUCCGACAAGGUGAUCCAUUGUCUCCUUUCUUAUGA
rnacentral:rRNA from 1 species